rnacentral:lncRNA from 1 species
GUUUCGCUGAAAAAAUUGAUACAACACAUACAGGAAGCAUGAUAAACAUUUCAUUGCUGCAGAGACCAGCUUCAGGGAAGGAGAGGUGCUCCAGACCUCUGAUCAUCUUUGUGGCCCUUUUCUGGGCCCUCUCCAACAGCUCCACAUCCUUCCUGCAUUGAGGGUCCCAGACCUGGACACAGUACUCCAGAUGGGGCCUCACGAGGGCCUCCCUGUCCCUGCUGGCCAUCCCUCUUCUGAUGGAGCUCAGGAUACUCUUGGCCUUCACAGCUGCAAGAGCACACUGCUGGCUCAUGAAGUUUUUCAUCCACCAGGACUACCAGAUUCACACAGACCCACCUCUCAAGUUUGCUGAAGUCCCCCUGGAUGGCAUCCCUUCCUUCUAACAUGUCAAUCGUACCACUUAACUUGGUGUCAUCAGCAAACUUGCUGAGAGUGCACUUGAGACCAUCAUUGAUGUCACUGAUGAAGAUGUUGAAGAGACAGUGAGAGUUCAUACUGAGUGCCUAACAACCCUUUCUGUAAAGAAGUGUUUCCUGAUGUCCAACCUAAACUUAUCCUGGAGCAACUUAAGGCCAUCUCUCCUUGUCCUGUCAGCAGUGAGAAGAGACCAGCCCCACUCUUGCUGUAAGCAACUUUCAGAUAUUGGAAGAGAGCAAGUUCUCCCCUCAGCCUCCUUUUCCCUAGACUGAGCAGUCCUAGUUCCUUCAGCGUCUCCUCGUAGGGCACAUUCGCCAAGCCUUUCACAAGCCCUGUUGCCCUUCUCUGGAUCUGCUCCAGCAUCUCAGUGUCCUUCUUGUACUGAGGUGCCCAAAACUGAACAAAGUACUUGAGGUGAGGCCUCAUCAGGGCCGAGUACAGGGGCAGGAUGACUUCCCUAGUCCUGCUCACCACACCGUUCCUGAUACAAACCAGGAUGCCAUUGGCCUUCUUGGCCACCUGGGCACACUGCUGGCUCAUACUCAGAUGACUGUCCAUCAGUACACCAAGGUCCCUUUCCAUCUGGCAGCUUUCCAGCCACUCCUCCCCAGGCCUGGAGGGUUGCCUGGUGUUGUUGUGACCAAAAUGCAGGACCCGACACUUGGCCCUACUGAAACUCAUACAGUUUGCCUUGGCCCAUUGAUCCAGUCUAUCCAGGUCCCUCUAUAGUGCCUUUCUCCCUUCAGGCAG